rnacentral:rRNA from 1 species
CGGUUCGGAUCGGAGUCUGCAACCCGACUCCGUGAAGCUGGAUUCGCUAGUAAUCGCGCAUCAGCCAUGGCGCGGUGAAUACGUUCCCGGGCCUUGUACACACCGCCCGUCAAGCCAUGGGAGCCGGGGGUGCUUGAAGUGCGUCGCCGCAAGGCGCGCCCUAGAGCAAAACCGGUGACUGGGGCUAAGUCGUAACAAGGUAUC